rnacentral:rRNA from 1 species
GACGAACGCUGGCUGCGUGCUUAACACAUGCAAGUCGAACGCUGAAGCCUGGUGCUUGCACCGGGUGGAUGAGUGGCGAACGGGUGAGUAACACGUGAGUAACCUGCCCCUGACUUCGGGAUAAGCCCGGGAAACUGGGUCUAAUACCGGAUACGACUGCCGGACGCAUGUCUGGUGGUGGAAAGUUUUUUCGGUUGGGGAUGGGCUCGCGGCCUAUCAGUUUGUUGGUGAGGUAAUGGCUCACCAAGACGACGACGGGUAGCCGGCCUGAGAGGGCGACCGGCCACACUGGGACUGAGACACGGCCCAGACUCCUACGGGAGGCAGCAGUGGGGAAUAUUGCACAAUGGGGGAAACCCUGAUGCAGCGACGCAGCGUGCGGGAUGACGGCCUUCGGGUUGUAAACCGCUUUCAGCAGGGAAGAAGCGCAAGUGACGGUACCUGCAGAAGAAGUACCGGCUAACUACGUGCCAGCAGCCGCGGUAAUACGUAGGGUACGAGCGUUGUCCGGAAUUAUUGGGCGUAAAGAGCUCGUAGGUGGUUGGUCACGUCUGCUGUGGAAACGCAACGCUUAACGUUGCGCGUGCAGUGGGUACGGGCUGACUAGAGUGCAGUAGGGGAGUCUGGAAUUCCUGGUGUAGCGGUGAAAUGCGCAGAUAUCAGGAGGAACACCGGUGGCGAAGGCGGGACUCUGGGCUGUAACUGACACUGAGGAGCGAAAGCAUGGGGAGCGAACAGGAUUAGAUACCCUGGUAGUCCAUGCCGUAAACGUUGGGCACUAGGUGUGGGGGGCAUUCCACGUUCUCCGCGCCGUAGCUAACGCAUUAAGUGCCCCGCCUGGGGAGUACGGUCGCAAGGCUAAAACUCAAAGGAAUUGACGGGGGCCCGCACAAGCGGCGGAGCAUGCGGAUUAAUUCGAUGCAACGCGAAGAACCUUACCAAGGCUUGACAUACACCGGACCGUCCUGGAAACAGGUCCUCUUCUUUGAAGCUGGUGUACAGGUGGUGCAUGGUUGUCGUCAGCUCGUGUCGUGAGAUGUUGGGUUAAGUCCCGCAACGAGCGCAACCCUCGUUCUAUGUUGCCAGCACGUGAUGGUGGGAACUCAUAGGAGACUGCCGGGGUCAACUCGGAGGAAGGUGGGGAUGACGUCAAAUCAUCAUGCCCUUUAUGUCUUGGGCUUCACGCAUGCUACAAUGGCUGGUACAGAGAGAGGCGAACCCGUGAGGGCAAGCGAAUCCCUUAAAGCCAGUCUCAGUUCGGAUCGUAGUCUGCAAUUCGACUACGUGAAGUCGGAGUCGCUAGUAAUCGCAGAUCAGCAACGCUGCGGUGAAUACGUUCCCGGGCCU